UACGUAGGGGGCUAGCGUUGUCCGGAAUCAUUGGGCGUAAAGAGCGCGUAGGCGGCCAGAUAAGUCCGGUGUGAAAGUCACAGGCUCAACCUGUGAAUGCCGCUGGAAACUGUCUGGCUAGAGUCCGGGAGGGGCGAGUGGAAUUCCUGGUGUAGCGGUGAAAUGCGCAGAUAUCAGGAGGAACACCAAUGGCGAAGGCAGCUCGCUGGAAUGGUACUGACGCUGAGGCGCGAAAGCGUGGGGAGCAAACAGG
rnacentral:rRNA from 1 species